rnacentral:rRNA from 1 species
CCUACGGGAGGCAGCAGUGGGGGAUAUUGCACAAUGGGGGAAACCCUGAUGCAGCGACGCCGCGUGGGUGAAGAAGCGCCUCGGCGCGUAAAGCCCUGUCAGCAGGGAAGAAAAUGACGGUACCUGAAGACGACGCCCCGGCUAACUCCGUGCCAGCAGCCGCGGUACCACGUAGGGGGCAAGCGUUAUCCGGAUUUACUGGGUGUAAAGGGGGCGCAGGCGGCGAUGCAAGCCAGGAGUGAAAGCCCGGGGCCCAACCCCGGGACUGCUCUUGGAACUGCGUGGCUAGAGUGCAGGAGGGGUAGGCGGAAUGCCUGGUGUAGCGGUGAAAUGCGUAGAUAUCAGGAAGAACACCGGUGGCGAAGGCAGCCUGCUGGACUGCAACUGACGUUGAGGCCCGAAAGCGUGGGGAGCGAACAGGAUUAGAUACCCCAGUAGUC